rnacentral:rRNA from 1 species
AUUGAACGCUGGCGGCAGGCUUAACACAUGCAAGUCGAGCGAGCGGCGGACGGGUGAGUAAUGUCUGGGAAACUGCCUGAUGGAGGGGGAUAACUACUGGAAACGGUAGCUAAUACCGCAUACCAUCAAAUGUGCCCAGAUGGGAUUAGCUAGUAGGUGGGGUAAUGGCUCACCAAGGCGACGAUCCAUAGCUGGUCUGAGAGGAUGACCAGCCACACUGGAACUGAGACACGGUCCAGACUCCUACGGGAGGCAGCAGUGGGGAAUCUUGCACAAUGGGCGAAAGCCUGAUGCAGCCACGCCGCGUGUGUGAAGAAGGCCUUCGGGUUGUAAAGCACUUUCAGCGAGGAGGCGUUACCUGCACAAGAAGCACCGGCUAACUCCGUGCCAGCAGCCGCGGUAAUUC